GUAAUAAGCCGAGUAGUGAAUGGAGAUAUAGUAAAAGGAGAUUAAGUAAGAAACUAACGGAAUAUCCCAGUAAAGGCGUUGAAAAAAGACGGCCAGAGAAUAGUAAUAAGUCUAAAUAUAGGGAAAAUUGGUCCAGACGUUACAUGCUACCCGCACGCCAUGGCGACCGCGGGAAUUCGAUUUGCGGCUGGAUCCCCUCCUUUGGAGAACGACAGAACCUCCUCCGCAAGACGUCCACACAAGACACCUGCAUAUCCGCAUGUAAAAGACAUGCCUGGCCCAUCCCAUUCGAUGUGGGGGCCUAUAGCUUUAUGGGUCUGUAGCUCAGGUGGUUAGAGCGCACCCCUGAUAAGGGUGAGGCCGGUGGUUCGAGUCCUCCCAGACCCACCACUUUGGGGCCAUAGCUCAGCUGGGAGAGCACCUGCUUUGCAAGCAGGGGGUCGUCGGUUCGAUCCCGACUGGCUCCACCAGUUCACGCGGAUAUGUAGCGCACACGAAAAGAUUUUGAAGCGAGACGGCACUGCGGCCGCUUUCGUGUUCUUUGACAAUGUAAACGAGUGACAAGCGUCUUGGUUUGAAACCAAACCGAGAUGUGUCGUUGAGGCAAUUAAGCGAACGCGUUGUUUGGCGUUAGCCCUGAGGCGACUUGGGGUUAUAUGGUCAAGCGACCAAGCGUAUACGGUGGAUGCCUUGGCGGUCAGAGGCGAUGAAGGACGUGGCAGCCUGCGAAAAGUGUCGGGGAGCUGGUAACAAGCUUUGAUCCGGCAAUGUCCGAAUGGGGAAACCCGG
rnacentral:misc_RNA from 1 species